rnacentral:miRNA from 1 species
CUGGGGUGCGGCGGGACUUGUAGUUCGGCCUCCGCUUCCGGACGGCUGCGACUACAGGACGCGUGGUACGGCUGAACUACAGUUCCCAGCGUGCCCCGGG